GCGGAGGAAAAGAAACUAACAAGGAUUCCCUCAGUAACGGCGAGUGAAGCGGGAAGAGCUCAAAUUUAAAAUCUGGUUUACUUGUAAGCCCGAGUUGUAGUCUGAAGAAACGUUUUCCAUAAGCACUGAGGCAAAAGUCCCUUGGAACAGGGCAUCAUAGAGGGUGAGAAUCCCGUCCAUGGUCUCAAGUUGUUUAUUUUGUGAUACGUUUUCAAAGAGUCAGGUUGUUUGGGAAUGCAGCCUAAAAUGGGUGGUAAAUUUCAUCUAAAGCUAAAUAUUGGCGAGAGACCGAUAGCGAACAAGUACCGUGAGGGAAAGAUGAAAAGAACUUUGAAAAGAGAGUUAAACAGUACGUGAAAUUGUUGAAAGGGAACCGUUUGAAGCCAGUCUUACUUGCUCGUGAUCAAUUUUUGCCUCGGCAUGAAUGCACUCUCGGGUAUGGUAGGCCAACGACAGUUUAGAAUGCGAGAAAAAAAUAGGGGAAAUGUGGCCUUCGGGUGUUAUAGUCCCUUAUAAAAUAUCGUGUUCUGGACUGAGGAUCGCAGCAAAAAUGUGGGCAGGUGGAUUUCUGUGGUAACUGUCGGUUAGGACAACUUGUUGACCUAGUCUUCCUUAGCCUCACUAUUUACCUUGCUUCUAAUUUGCUUAGGUCGUUGGCAUAAUGGCUUUAAAUGAC
rnacentral:rRNA from 1 species